AUGCUCGCUUCAGCAACACAUGUACUAAAAUUGGAAUGAUACAGAGAUUAGCAUGGCCCCUGAACAAGGAUGACACACAAAUGUGUGAAGCAUUCCAGUGCCAG
ensembl:snRNA U6 U6 spliceosomal RNA